rnacentral:rRNA from 1 species
GCGCAGCAGUCGAGAAACCUCCGCAAUACACGAAAGUGUGACGGGGCCAUCCCGAGUGCCGUCCGCUGAGGACGGCUUUUCCUCAGUGUACACAGCUGGGGGAAUAAGGAGAGGGCAAGCCUGGUGUCAGCCGCCGCGGUAAUACCAGCUCUCCGAGUGGUGGGGACGCUUAUUGGGCCUAAAGCAUCCGUAGCCGGCUGGGCAAGUCCUCCGUUAAAUCCAACGAUUCAAUCGUUGGGCUGCGGGGGAUACUGUCCAGCUUGGGGGCGGGAGAGGCCGACGGUAUUCCCGGGGUAGGGGUGAAAUCCUAUAAUCCCGGGAGGACUACCAGUGGCGAAGGCUGUCGGCUAGAACGCGCCCGACGGUGAGGGAUGAAAGCU